UUUUUUUUUUUUUUUUUAGCAUUGUUUUCUAAAGGUGCAAAUCCCAGUAUUAGCUGUAUCCCAGAAACAAACAAAAACGGGGCCACAUACUGAGAAAAGCGCACAUAUGGAGGCCAAGAGAGGGCGUAUAUCCAGUGAGAGGGUUUCCUGACUCUCAUCUACCUUGAGCCUGCAGAAUCCACGGGAACCCCUUUCUGAACUGCUUCCUAAAUGCAGUUGGCUCUCUGCUCGGAGAACAUCAUUUCAGAAUCUGUUGCAGAGUCUGGAGUGGCACCCUGGAGCAUGUAUUUUCACAGUCCCCGACUCCCCGGGUGAUUCUGGUGCCGUGAGCCAUGGGAAGCUGUGGAAGGUGGUGAAAUGAUUGAGUUCGUGUCCUUAAAGGUAACCCUAACAGCGGCACGGUGACUCGAUUGGAUGGCGCUGGACUGGAGACUCCCGGACUGUGCUAGGCAAGAACUGAUGAAGGCCUAAACUAAGAGAGUGGCCAUGGAGAGAGGAUGAGGUGGGAGAAAGGAAUGAUUUACAGAGUAUUUAGGAGGUAGACUUGAUGUAAUGUGGUAAUUGGUUCAAUACGCAGAGCAAGGGACAGGAAGGAGUUAAGUUCUAGCUUGGGAGAUUCGGGUAAUAGUUAUGCAAUCCUAGAAGUUGUAAUAAUAAUGAUAUUAAGCAUGGGCUGUGUGUGAGGCAUUAGGAACUCUAAGUAUUAGCUGUAUAAUCCUCAUAAAGCCUUACAAGGUGGAAAUAGUUACGCCCUUUUACAGAAGAGAAACUAUUCAGGGAGGGGUUAAGUCUCUUAAAAUGGGAUACACUAGUCUCUUCACUGUAGAAUGACACCAUUGUUCUGUAGCUAAAAAUGUCUAUUUUGAUAUCAGCUAGUUUUCCCAAAGGCUGAUCACCCCUGAGUGAGAUGACCAGGUGCUAGAGCGUGUAGCAAACUUUGGUGGGGUCUUAACCAACACAGCACAAUCUCGAGAGCCGCACACUGCCAUGUCGGCCCUAGGGGGCUCUGUGGUGAUGCAGUACCAGUUUAUGUAUGUAUCUGCAGGGGACAUUCUAUGACCUCAGUUAUCUGAACUGUAGCCAAGAGCAAGAACAGAAGCAAACAAUAAACCCUGGAAUAGCAGGAGGGAUGCAAAUAUCACAUUCAGAUCUAAUGUGCUCUGCUCAGAGGGAAAAUUAAUUUGCAGACAUAUUAAUCUAUUGCUCUUGACUAAUUCCUCUGAAACCCGAUGGCUUACAAUGAUGAACACUAUCUCACAGUUUCUGUGGCUCCUGUGGUUCAGGAGAGCAUCUUAGCCGGGUGGUUCUGACUCCGUGUCUCCCAUGAGAUUGUGAUCAGCCUAUCAGCCGGGCCUUGGCUGGGCCUGAAAGAUCCGUUUUCACAACGGCCGACUCCUAUGGCUGUUGGCUGGGGGCCUCAGUUCAUCUCUACACUGGUGUCGCCAUAGGGCAUUUGAAUGUCUUUGAGAUUGGGCAGUUGACUUUCUCCAGAGAGAGUGGCCCAAGAAAGAGGGAGAGAGAAGCCAUGAUGCCUCUUAGGACUUAGCCUGAGAAGUCACCUGCCAUUUCCACAGUAUCCUAUUUUUCCACUAGUCUUCUCUCUUCAACCUGGACGGUCACUACACUAAAACACCAGGACGUGGGGAAUCAUUGGGGGUCCUCUUGGAGGCUGUAGUCACAGCGGAUUAAAAAAAAAUGAAAAAAGGGGAUCCCUGGGUGGCGCAGCGGUUUAGCGCCUGCCUUUGGCCCAGGGCGCGAUCCUGGAGACCCGGGAUCGAAUCCCACAUCGGGCUCCCGGUGCAUGGAGCCUGCUUCUCCCCCUGCCUAUGUCUCUGCCUCUCUCUCUAUCUCUGUGUGACUAUCGUAAAUAAAUAAAAAUUAAAAAAAUAAAAUAAAAUAAACAAUUUUAAAAAAAUGAAAAAAAAAUGAAGCCCUCUAAGCAUUAGAAUAAAACAGGUAAAGUCCUCUAUAAUCUUUGACUCAAACUUUAUAAGCAAUAAGGGAAGAGACUGGUCAACCUGUCCAUACUGCUGUUCUUUCCAUACUUAUAACUUUAUCACAACAAAAACGGCAUAAGAAAGUCUAAGAUGUAAUAAACUGGAAAAGUGAUCUGCAAUGACUGUCAGAAAGGGUUAAGCCUCCAGAUGUAUAGAAAAAUGGGCAAGGAAAGAGUUUGGAGUGAUUAUUUCAGGUCACGGCUGAUGUGUCUGUUUCCAGACGUGGACAUAACUCUCGGUGUGCCCUGCCCAGCCCUGUCCUGCCAGGGCCAUAGUGCCAGCUGCUCCAGCCAAACAGUAAGUGUGCGCAGUGCUCCCCUAGUAGCGCUAGCAGUUUCCAUGUGCCACUUGGUCAUGAGAGAGUGAGUCAUUUUGCUUGACACAGUUGCUUACUUCAUAGCUAAGGACAGUUGACUCUUCAUUCUUAUGUUCUACAGGUCCUGCACAGCUUUAUUUACAAUAGAAAAAGUCCUUGUUUGAUUUAUAAGAACAUGCUAAACUUAAAAAAAAAAAAAACUUUCCAAACGUCUCCUACUCUUUAUCUAUAGCCCCAGGCAAUCUUAUUUUGUUGAGUUCAGCAAGGCCAAAUUCCUUCCUGCUAUCCAUUAUUUAUCAGGUUUUUCAGUGAAAACGGAAAGAAAAGGAGAGAACGUGAUCUAUAGGGCUGGCCACAGAGAGAGAACUUGGGCGCCUUCAGCUUGGACACUGGCUGGUGGCAGGGAAGCUUGCCAAGCCUUCCCAGAAGCCGGGGAGUGUCACCCGGGGUUCAACAAAAUCCACCUGCGAUCGUCCAGUAAAAUGCUGUGCACCACAAAUCACCAUGUAAAAAUUAUUUCUCCAGAUGUUUUUUGAGAAGGAAUUUUAAAAGAUUGACAGCACUGUUUUCUCGAAAAUGUAUAGACUCCAUUUAUGGAACAUUCUGGAAAAGGCAAAACUAUAGGGAAAUAAAUGAGGUCAGUGGUUGGCAGAUCCUGGGGUGGAAGGAAAUCAUUGACUAGGAAAGCAUGUGGGGGGAGGGGGAGGGGGAUGAAAAUGUUGUCCUGCUUGUGGAGGUGGUUACAGGAUUGCACACCUUUAUCAGAACUCAACAGCACUCAGCUGAGAAGGACAAAUGUUACUGUAUUUAACUUAUACCUCAAUGCGUUCGACCUUAAAUUGCAUAGAUUCCAACUUCCAGAUAAGUUUGUACAUGACCUUUAUAUUACAUACCUUCCGUCAUUUUGACUUGAUCAAUAAUAACAGCAGUGGCAGCCAACAUUUGUUGAGCCCUGUGCCCAGAUAAAAAUCUUAUACUGAUACCCUUAAGAAAUCUUAAUCUGAUACCCUAUUAUUGCUCCCAUUGCGAAGAUAAGGACACUGAGGUCAGAGACAUUGAAGAACUUCAGUGAGAUGGGAUCUGAACUCAGGUGUCUGCACCUUAUUCCAUAACCUCAAGGCUAUCAUGUCCUGAUACUACAUUUCAGAACUUCUGAUUCUCUGGGGUAGGAUUCCAAAAGUGUUUUUGCUUUGCUUUUAGGGGAGAAGGUUCUGAAAUCAUUUCUCAUUACACUCUGAGACCCUGUUAAUAUUUAUAUUUUAAUAACAAUAAUACUUUCUAGAUGAUAAAAGCAUUCAAGAUUUUAUUGUAAAAACAAUAUAACAUGAAAUUAUUGGGAAAAAAAACCCCACCAUUUGUAAUCCCACCACCUUCAGAAGCAUCUUCAUUUCUGUAUAUAUCCUUGUAGCUCUCCAUAUGCCUGACACAUCCAUACAGGCAGGGGACACUCAACUUCGCUUUCUGGCAACAGCAUCUUAAAAAAAGACUUCAAAAUCAUCUUGCCAAUGGGAGCUGAGGUUUGGCUUUUUUACCUUUGUCAUGUGAAAACACCCAGAAUCCUCUGUGGAAUGAUAUGAAAAUAAGUAAAUGAAAAGGAGCAAUGUUUUUGUUUUUGUUUUUUGAGAAAUCUGGCCUUUCCCCGGGGACACAGGGCUGCAGCAUGUGGUCAGUUCCUGCUCCUCUGGUCAGGUCUUAAGAGCCAAAGAAAUAGUAUGAAAGAAAUAUGACUUUGAUCUGUGUUGGCCACAGCCAAAGAUCGUUCAUGUGGAGACCUACUGUUCUUCCUGUUUCCAUCCUGCAUUACAAGAUGAGUAUAAUCGUACUGUACAGAAGCACUUGGAGAUUUAAAAUCCUGGAGUAUUUCUGAACAUCUCUUUAUGGAAUGAAAUCGGUGAAGGGUAACAAUGUUGAUCAGGACAUUCACUCACCUCAGGUGGGAAUAAAGAUUAAGAAUAUAUACGUAUUUUUUUAAAAAUCACAAGAGUUGAUAGCUGAAUCAUUUGAGGGUGUCUUUUCCAACUAAGUUAUAAAUGUUGCACGUUACCUCUGAUUUUUUAAUUUAAUAAAAAAUUUCAGUUAAUCACUCAAACCGUUGACACGAAGCCUUUAAUUCCACCUUAGAUCUGAUGCCGGGUACAGAACCACCCACGCUGUGCUCCCGUUUCCUGAUGUCAGGCAGCCAACAUAGAGUUCUGAGGGCACCAGGUUACUUACAGAAUAGGACUAGGAUUUUCCCAGCCUCUGUGGAGAAAUGACAGUUUCACAUCCGUAAUUUAGGUGGCCACAUUGCUGUUUCAUCCACACUAGGCUUUCUCAGACUCAGACUUAUCAGUCUGAAUCAAAAUUCCUAAUCUAAUUUAAAUACUAUAAAUAAGAAGCGUUUACACAGACUUGCUUUUAAGUCCAUCCUCUAAUUCCGAUACGGACCCAAAUCACAGUAAGCUCGGUUCAUUCUGAGUUUUUAAGUUCCUACAGAAUUUUACCAACAGAAUAAUUCUAGAUAAUAACCACCAAACUGUAACAUUUCAUUUCAGUACCUACCCAAACCAACAAUAACAACCCCAACUCCCACCCCCACCCCCAAACAAAUGGAAUAACCCUUUCUGGUUUAACUGCAUUCUGUGAAAUGUUUUAAACUCUGGAAGGGACCUCUGAGUCAAUUGGUCAGGGCUUCCCCUCGUGUCACCACCGAGGGAACCCAGGCACAGGAAGGUCAGUGACUUGUCUGAGGUACUUGGAGAGACAGGGAGAGCCUCUGCCCAUCACAGCUGAGCUGGCCUUGAGGGCAAGGCACCCCCCAAAGGAAGACAGAGGCAAGUCCUAUCUUUUUUAUUUCUCAGGCUGACACACGGGGCUCACAUUCAGGGGUUCACCCCCUUAACAAGCAUUCAUUACAGAAGGGAGGGCUACAUCUGAAAAGCAACCCAGGAGCUAAAAAUAUAUCAAUGUGCAGGCUGAAAAGGAAAAUGCAGCAUCAUCAGGAUCCGCACCUAAGUAAACCCCAGACUACUUGUCAUUUGACAUCACACAUCUCCUUAGGAGCUUACUGUAAACCUUAAGUAAAUCUUACGGGUUAUGUUCUAAUUUUCCUUACCAAGAAUCUUUCCCUUGCAGCAUUUGAAAGCAUACGUUCUUGGAGCACACAUACAAAAAUGAAUUUACCAGGCAUUUUUUUUCUCUCCUACGAACCAGUGUUUGUUAACUACUAGCAAUAGUUCAACGUUUCCCUAAGUGCCUUGACAUUCCAAUUGCCUAUCUUCUGAAAAUCAAACAGUACUGUUUUCCCAAACGAGAAGUCAGAGAUAUUUUCUCUUUACAGUUAUUUAUCAUAGCAUUUAACCUUGGAAAUAAAGAUCUAUCCUUUAACAUACCUUUAACUUGGAAAACUAGAUGGUUUUGUUUUUUGCCACAGACUCUAACAUUGACCUCGUCGUAUACAUCCUAUGCUAAACAUUUUAAAUCUUGUUCCUAUACUUGUAUCAUGGUAUAUAAAUCAUACCAGAUGUUUUUAGAAAAUUAAUGACUUUGAUACCAAGCACCUAAAUCAAAUCGGGCUUCUAUCAGAAAGCAAUGUCUUGAAUUAUAUACAUAGAAAUGAGAGCAGAGAGAGAUAGUGACAGCGGCCUAUUGCUCAAGGAGAAAGUGACUCUGCUUGCACCACAUAGUGGGAGUUCUAGUAGGCAAUGUUAGAACUCCAAAUAAUAUCAAACGUUCUUAAUGCUUAAACCUUUCAAACACAGAGUUGUUUAGGUUAACAGGUCUGCAGGAUAAAUACAUUCAUUGUAAUUCAGCUUUUGUGCCUGAGUGUGAAACAUUUUAUUCUUAAUUUCAGCGAGCAGAGGACUCUCAGAAUUAGGUACACAACUGAUUGCACAUAUAAUUAAAUACCCAAGGAUCUGCGAAAUGGGUGGAAAGGGUGAUAAUGACAUUUGUCCCAAUUGCUCUCUAUGGAUUAUGCAACAUCUGAUGGAUUUUUUUUUCUUCAGUAGGUUCUGCUGAACAAUUUUUUUGUCGCCAUCACGAACCAAAACAACUUGAUAGGAACAGAAGAGUCACUGCAUUAGAAACAAGAAUAGGGAUGCCUGGGUGGCUCAGCGGUUGAGCAUCUGCCUUCGGCCCAGGGCAUGACCCACACUGGGUUGUCUGCAGGGAGCCUGCUUUUCCCUCUCCCUAUGUCUCUGUCCCUGUGUGUCUCUCAGGAAUAAAUAAAUAAAAUCUCUCUCUCUCUAAAAAAAAAAAAAA
rnacentral:lncRNA from 1 species